AUUGAACGCUGGCGGCAGGCCUAACACAUGCAAGUCGAACGGUAACAGAAAGCAGCUUGCUGCUUUGCUGACGAGUGGCGGACGGGUGAGUAAUGUCUGGGAAACUGCCUGAUGGAGGGGGAUAACUACUGGAAACGGUAGCUAAUACCGCAUAACGUCGCAAGACCAAAGAGGGGGACCUUCGGGCCUCUUGCCAUCGGAUUGGCCCAGAUGGGAUUAGCUAGUAGGUGGGGUAACGGCUCACCUAGGCGACGAUCCCUAGCUGGUCUGAGAGGAUGACCAGCCACACUGGAACUGAGACACGGUCCAGACUCCUACGGGAGGCAGCAGUGGGGAAUAUUGCACAAUGGGCGCAAGCCUGAUGCAGCCAUGCCGCGUGUAUGAAGAAGGCCUUCGGGUUGUAAAGUACUUUCAGCGGGGAGGAAGGGAGUAAAGUUAAUACCUUUGCUCAUUGACGUUACCCGCAGAAGAAGCACCGGCUAACUCCGUG
rnacentral:rRNA from 1 species